GAGGAGGUCAAGGUCGAUGGACAGAUCGCCCAAGGGUUACGGACACUGGGGCCACGAUCACACUGGUACAGAAACACUUGGUUCCUGCUCAUAAACAUACCGGCCAAACCGUGGCUGUUCGAGUGGCUGGUGGAUCCGUAUUUCGUUUGCCUACUGCCCGCGUCCACUUAGACUUGGGAGCCGGAUCCGGUACAGUGAAAGUCAG